AUUCUAGUAUUCGCCCCAAUCCACAUGUAUUGAGGUGGAUUGGGGUGAACCCCAAUCCACCUCAAUACAUGUGGAUUGGGGCGAAUACUAGA
rfam:Zea mays cultivar B73 chromosome 7, whole genome shotgun sequence.